CUGUGGAAGGGCAGGGGUCAGAACUGGGAACAGUAGAGCUGCGCCAGAGGAGCUUCCGGCCUGGGGCUGCCCAGCGGCCCCAUGUUCUGCUCCUUUCCCCGCUGUGGUUCCGAAGUCUCCAGCACAGCAGGAGGUGGACAGAGCUCCUCCCCUACCCCCAGAGCACAUGAUGAUCAGCAAGAAUGAAAUCACGUGGAUUUGGGGCCCAGGGAGAACUUCACAAAGAAAUAGGCCAGAGGAGAUGAAGAACCAGGACAAUGCAUCACAUUGACUCCAGGGAGUGAGGCGUUUGAUGGCCUACAGUCCUAGCUGAGACCUCGUGUCAAGACUAGAAGAUAGAAGACCUGCUUACCUUUGGUUCCUGAUCCUUAGUGUUAUUGUUCCUGGUUCCUGCAUCAUUCCUGAGGGGUCCUGAGUUCGAGUGUUCCUAUGAUCCAGUUCUGCUCCUGUCCUUGGGUGUGGUCCUCAUUCUGUCAAGAUCAUCAGAUAUGGUGGUGAUGUAUUAGUUUCCAUGAUUCCUUGCACCUACCUGUCCUGUGUUAUUUGGGGGUCCCUGGCU